AGAAAAAAUAGUAGUUUGAAUGACUUUGGUUAUAAUUUUUUAUUUCUAUGGUUACGAAUGAUCACAUUAGGCAUCAGUAAAUAUAGAUACAUUUUAAAUGUGGUUUUGUGUUUGUUUC